GGUGAGGUGGCCGAGUUGGUUAUGGCGCCAGGUUAAGGUCUCAAUCUUAGCAAUUACAACAAAAGCGCGAUUCACAACACAAAAAAAGUUGAAUCCAAUUGUUUCCUGGUGGAGCAAUCCGCGCGAGUUCAAGUCUCGUCCUCAUCA